GAAAGCUGAGGAAUACGGAAUUUGCAGGAUCAUUCCUCCUGAUUCAUGGAAACCACCAUCUCUUUUAAAUGGAAAUAAAUGGGAAUCAUCUAGAUUCUCUACCCAUAUUCACCAGAUUGAUGAACUUAAAGAUCUGCAUUCAAAGAGAAAACUUCAUGAAAUGAUUGAGCAAGCAGAAGGAAAAAAUGGAUCUGAUGGUUUUGAAUUUGAAUCUGGUCCUGAAUUCACACUGAGGGGAUUUAAGGCAUAUGCAGCGCAUUUCAAAGGUCAAUAUUUUAAAAAGAAAGACAUUUUUACCGAUUAUAGGACUCGUCCUUGGGAAAAUGUUGAAGGGGAAUAUUGGCGAAUUGUUCAGAACCCAACUGAGCAAAUUCAGGUAAGUAUUUGAUUAUAAU
rnacentral:lncRNA from 1 species